AUUGAACGCUAGCGGGAUGCCUUACACAUGCAAGUCGAACGGCAGCACGGACUUCGGUCUGGUGGCGAGUGGCGAACGGGUGAGUAAUGUAUCGGAACGUGCCCAGUAGCGGGGGAUAACUACGCGAAAGCGUAGCUAAUACCGCAUACGCCCUACGGGGGAAAGCAGGGGAUCGCAAGACCUUGCACUAUUGGAGCGGCCGAUAUCGGAUUAGCUAGUUGGUGGGGUAACGGCUCACCAAGGCGACGAUCCGUAGCGGGUUUGAAAGGACGACCAGGCACACUGGGACUGCGCGCCGGCCCAGCCUCCGACGGGAGGCAGCAGUGGGGAAUUUUGGACAAUGGGGGAAACCCUGAUCCAGCCAACCCGCGUGUGCGAUGAAGGCCUUCGGGUUGUAAAGCACUUUUGGCAGGAAAGAAACGUCAUGGGCUAAUACCCCGUGAAACUGACGGUACCUGCAGAAUAAGCACCGGCUAACUACGUGCCAGCAGCCGCAGUAACAC
rnacentral:rRNA from 1 species